rnacentral:misc_RNA from 1 species
GAUGAAGAACGUAGCGAAAUGCGAUAAGUAAUGUGAAUUGCAGAAUUCAGUGAAUCAUCGAAUCUUUGAACGCACAUUGCGCCCCUUGGUAUUCCGAGGGGCAUGCCUGUUCGAGCGUCAUUAUAACCCCUCAAGCUCAGCUUGGUGUUGGGGCCUGCUGCACUGGCAGCCCUUAAAAUCAGUGGCGGCGCCAUCUGGCUCUAAGCGUAGUAUUUCUUCUCGCUAUGGAGUCCUGGUGGAUGCUUGCCAUCAACCCCCAAUUUUUCUAUGGUUGACCUCGGAUCAGGUAGGGAUACCCGCUGAACUUAAGCAUAUCAAUAAGCGGAGGA